UACGUAGGGUCCGAGCGUUGUCCGGAAUUAUUGGGCGUAAAGGGCUCGUAGGCGGUUUGUCGCGUCGGGAGUGAAAACACCGGGCUUAACUCGGUGCUUGCUUUUCGAUACGGGCAGACUGGAGGUAUGCAGGGGAGAACGGAAUUCCUGGUGUAGCGGUGAAAUGCGCAGAUAUCAGGAGGAACACCGGUGGCGAAGGCGGUUCUCUGGGCAGUAACUGACGUGAGGAGCGAAAGCGUGGGGAGCGAACAGG
rnacentral:rRNA from 1 species